rnacentral:rRNA from 1 species
CACGUAGGGGGCAAGCGUUGUCCGGAUUUAUUGGGCGUAAAGAGCUCGUAGGCGGUUCGGUAAGUUGGGUGUGAAACCUCCAGGCUCAACCUGGAGACGCCACCCGAUACUGCUGUGACUAGAGUCCGGUAGGGGAGCGUGGAAUUCCUGGUGUAGCGGUGAAAUGCGCAGAUAUCAGGAGGAACACCGGUGGCGAAGGCGGGUCUCUGGGCAUGUCCUGACGCUGAGGAGCGAAAGUGUGGGGAGCGAACAGG